GUAUUCAAUUUUAUUUUUUGGAUUUCCAAAAAAAAUUUGAUGUUUUCAGGCUUGCUUAGAGAAAAAGCAAGCAAAGUUUGUCAACGUGAAAGGAUAAAGCAAAAAAAAAACUCUGGCAGCGCCGGAAGGGAAAAAAAGGUUACCUUUUUCCCCCUCCACAGAGAAACGGUAAAGGAUCUCCACUCGCAAACUGCCAAAGCAAACAUGUCAAUGAUGUGCACACGAAGGUGGAUAUGGAUUUGAACCAUCCAUAUUUGCAAAGGAAAAUGGACAAUUGUUAAUGAUCCUUCCGCAGGUUCACCUACGGAAA
rnacentral:misc_RNA from 1 species